UAGCUUUUCUGUUAUUGGCGCUACUUUGAAACUACCCGGCGGAAGAUACCCACAUGCUUUGUCAUCAAAAAGAAGUGGCAGGACGACAUUGUCGGAUUAUCAAAUUACUCCGACAAGGUGGCUGUGUUGACGUUAAGCAUAUCCCAAAACCCAAAGCUAUAUACCUACCUUAACCGCAAUCAAAGCCUACGCAUCAACAUCUACACAUUGCGAUGAUAAGAUUGAAGAGUAUUACGAGAUUAUGACCCUCUAAAUAAAUCUACUGAUGAAAAGCAGGAAACAUGGACCAUUGUCCUUGGUGAAGUCAGAUCAAGCACACAUACAUAGUUGGACCACAUAUGGCCUUGGCAGCAGAAACGACCGUAGUUCUAGGUCUAUUCCAUUUGCCUUUGGUCGAAACAUGAACGUAGAUAAGUAAUUCCUUCUUUCUCAAAAAAACUUCAAAGUCGCUGGACCUGGACUUCGCCUGGCGGAAUAUCACACACGAAAUUGACUACUUAUAUAAUAAUAUUUUCAUCUGACAAAAGUUUGAUUAGAUAUUUAUUUAUGUAGGUAUUAGGUACAUCAAUAGGUUUAAAUUUAGUUCCGAUCACAGACCCGUGAGAGCAAAAAUAAAGUUUAAGACUUAAAUCCACCGUAAGCAAUUAAUUCAUAAAUAGGCAAAACACCUAAACAGAAACACACUCUUAUUUGUAACCACGAUCAGUCUAACUUAGAAUUACGAAGUAAUUUUGACACCUUUCAAGAAGAGAUACCACAAAUACACAUUCAGAAGUUCAAAUUCAAAAUAACAACAUUAUAAAUACUUUAGAAACAGCCAGUAGCAAAAUUAAACCAACCCGGAAAAAUAACAAAAAACUCACAAGCGACACAUUACGUUAUUAGAACUAGCUCUUCUGAAGGAGGUACGAAUUCUUCAUCAUCAUAAGUAUUAACUUUAUUAACAGUUUCAACUAAAACAGUAGUAUUAACUUUAUUAAAAUAGCUUUAAACUUUUUUGUCAUUCAAGACACAUUGAGACAUUUUCUACUGUAAGAGAACAAUAGUUUUAUGGGUAAUUAAUAGGUAAGUACCUACCUAGUGAUAAUAAUAAUUAAUGUGUGUUUUGUGUCACCUUGUCAGGAAUAAAAUUGGAACAUAACAGACAUCACAAAAAUAACUUGCUAAUUUUGAUGAAUGAAAAAGUAUCACAGAACACAUACAUAAUAUUAUAUUAUAAUUAAUAAAUAUGGGAAUCUUACACAUACCAACCUAGUUCCACAGUUAGAUCAAUAGGGCUCGUAAUGUGGCUAUAUCUAUCUAAUUAUAAAUAGUCGUCUAGUAGGUACCCAUAAUACAACUCUAUUAUGAACCUUAUAGAAAAAAUACAACACAGUGACAUUAAACAACGAGUGACAUUCAUUAACCACACCGUUAUAAGCGUUCUGUACCAGUUGUAGUGGCUUUAAGCUUAAAACGACAUUUUUCACUUAAGCAUGCCAACUGUCGCUAUGGUAAACUAAGCUAGCAUUAUUGACACUACACAGAUAAUGACGAUCGACCUGCUAAAACUCCUGUCAGGGGGCCUAGCCAAAACGCAUUUCGAAAAAAGAUAUCGCUAACGAAUCGAUAAAAAAUGUAUGGGAAUGACAGGUACCGUAGAUGAGUCUGUCGAAAAAUAUUAACGAAUACAAAAAUGUUAGCCAAGUUGCAAUGUUGUAACGAAACGCAAAACUUUCGUUACCGGGAUUCGACAUCUGUCAUACAUUGUCUAGCCAAGUGACACUUUUGACAAGCGUUAUCGCCUCCUAGGUGUCGAUACGUAGCGCGAGCUAUCCCCUUGCAGAUAACUUACCGAAGCACAAGGAAAUACCGAAUAAUAGUGUUUGUAAAUUAGAAUUUGUAAUAAAAAGCAUACUUCAACAUUAUUGUGGGCGGCGAACAACGCGGAAGUGUCGCUUAGACGCAGGCGCCGUCUGAAAAAUCGCCUCUAUUGAAACUUGAAACUGCUUAGGAAAGGACUGCCCUUAGCUGGUGAUCUUAUCAUGUAUGCUACGAUCAAAGGAUUGUGGGCCGUACGCAGCAUUUCACCCAAAGGAUCCAAUGUGACCGAGGCGCUGAAUAUCUACCUAUCUAUAGUGACAGUGUCAUGGAAAAAUGGAUUAUGCACCCACAAAUGCAACACGAAACAAUGUCCCUACAAAGGUGACUUGGAUAUUCAUUGCAGCCUUGGCAUAUGAACCAAUACUUUAUGGUGCUCCAAAGUCAGGGUCAAGGGAAGAAACUAUGUCACAUGUACAACCACAAAAAUAUAUUGAGUGUUGUUUUACUAUUUUAAUACACUGUACAUAAUAUAUGUACAAACAAGAAAAGAAUGCUUGGCUACUGAUUUCAUGCUGCUGGCAAAAAAUACCUGCUGCAUCUUUCAUUAAUAGAUUUUCAAUAAAAUAAAUUAACUUUUUAACCCAA